GAUGAACGCUGGCGGCGUGCUUAACACAUGCAAGUCGAACGGAAAGGCUCCUGCUUGCAGGGGUACUCGAGUGGCGAACGGGUGAGUAACACGUGGGUGAUCUGCCCUGCACUUCGGGAUAAGCCUGGGAAACUGGGUCUAAUACCGGAUAGGACCAUCGUUUAGUGUCGGUGGUGGAAAGUUUUUUCGGUGUGGGAUGAGCUCGCGGCCUAUCAGCUUGUUGGUGGGGUAAUGGCCUACCAAGGCGUCGACGGGUAGCCGGCCUGAGAGGGUGUACGGCCACAUUGGGAUUGAGAUACGGCCCAGACUCCUACGGGAGGCAGCAGUGGGGAAUAUUGCACAAUGGGCGCAAGCCUGAUGCAGCGACGCCGCGUGGGGGAUGACGGCCUUCGGGUUGUAAACUCCUUUCGCCAGGGACGAAGCGAAAGUGACGGUACCUGGAUAAGAAGCACCGGCUAACUACGUG
rnacentral:rRNA from 1 species